AUGCAUUAUCUCUUGAGAGCACAUUUAGAAACCAAAUGCAAUCUAAAUGGUGAUUAUCUAGGUGGACUCAAUCUAACCAUGGAAUCAGAAGGAGGAAAGCACAAGAAGGAUACCACAGAUCUUUGCUGGCUUUGAAGAUACAGUGGGCUAUAUCUUUAGCCUCUAGGAGCUGAGCACAGUCUGGGGCUGGUAAUCUAGCCAGAAAAUGGGGACCUCAGUCUCACAUCCACAAGGUACAGAAUUCUGCCAAUAACCAGAAUGAGCUUGUAAGUGAAUUCUUCCCAAAAGCCUUCAAAUAAGUGUUCAUCCCAGCCAACAUUUUCUUUUCGAUCUGGUGAGAUUCCGAUCAGAGAAUCCAAUGGAGCUCAACAUAAUGACUUACAGAUUUGUGAGCUAAUAAAUGGAUGUUGUUUUACAUUGAUAAGUAUAUGGUUAUUUGUUAUUUAGCAAUAGAAAAGUAAUGCAGUGUAUUAGGCUGCGAUGAAGAAAUACCUGAGACUGGGUAAUUUAUAAAGGAAAAGAGGUGUAAUUGACUCACAGUUCCACCUGUCCGGGAAGGCCUCUGGAAACUUAAAAGCAUGGCAUAAAACACCUCUUCACGGGGCAGCAGGAGAAAGAAUGAGCACAAGCAGGGUAAAUGCCAGACAUUUAUAAAACCAUCAGAUCUCAUGAGACUCACUCCUUACCACGAGAACAGCAUUGGGAAAAACACGCCCAUGAUUAAAUUAUCUCCACCUGGUCCCACUUUUGACACAUGGAGAUAAUUAAAAUUCAAGGUGAUAUUUGGGUGGGGACACAGAGCCAAACCAUAUAAUGCAUUAAGCAUUGAAAAUUAUUUAAAAAUCUUUAGUAGGAAUAACAACACAUACCAGUCAAUGAAGGAUCAGUUUACAAUCUUUGGUAUAAUCAAGGUAAGGUAAGAGUUCAGAUGAAAGGGAUUCUGAGCAUUUUUUCAUCUUCUAAUGUAAGCAACUGUGCCAUGUGUGUCUCAUGAUCAUCAUUUAAAGUCAGUCUGAAAUAAAUUUUGAUUGAAUUCCUUUGAUUAGAUGAAAAUAAAGUCCACAAAGCAAUGAUGGGUGAGAACAUAAAAUGGUGAAAUGUGUAAGAGCAUUAAGAGAGACAAUUUAUUUGCUUUGUGAAUAUUUUUUGUAUUUGGUAACUUGAGGUAAUCUAGGUAAAUCAAGUAAAAGGAAAUUUUUCUAUCAUUUUUUCCUUAAAAUAUUUCCAGUAUAGUUGUUCCUUUAAAACUCUUUGUAUGCCUCCAUAAAUCUGCUUCAUUUAAUCUUGAGGAUGUUUCUUUAAAAUAUAUGGCAAAUAUUCGCAUCCCCAAAGUUCCCCUAGCUUAAAUCGCAUGUAGAGAAAAUAGUACAAGUUCAGAAAUUCCGUAAAACAUUCUUUCUCUUUCUCUUUUAGUAAACAAACUUUGAAAGAUUAUUUCUAGGGAAUAAAUUUAUUCUCAUUUCCUUGCCCAAAUAAUAUUCUUCAACCAAAGUGGUUCUUAAAUAUCAAAACAAUUAAUCAGUAAGUACUGUCUCUUGCAGCUCUCACAAGACUCUCUUCGUAUAUUCAACAUCAUUAAUUGAACAUCUGUUAUGUUGAG
ensembl:lncRNA